AUAUCAGUCAUGCAUAGCAUAUCAAUAAGCGGAGGAAAAGAAACUAACAAGGAUUCCCUUAGUAACGGCGAGUGAAGCGGGAAGAGCUCAAAUUUGAAAUCUUCAAGGUUUUACCUUGACGAAUAUGUAGUUUAAAGAAGUGUUUUCUGUUGAAGUUUUGGUAAAAGUUCUUUGGAAUAGGACAUCAUAGAGGGUGAGAAUCCCGUAUUUGACCAUUACUUUCAGCUUUGUGAUAGCACUUUCGAAGAGUCGGAUUGUUUGGGAAUGCAGUCCAAAAUGGGUGGUAAAUUUCAUCUAAAGCUAAAUAUUGGCGAGAGACCGAUAGCGAACAAGUACCGUGAGGGAAAGAUGAAAAGAACUUUGAAAAGAGAGUUAAACAGUACGUGAAAUUGUCAAAAGGGAAGCGUUUGACACCAGUGUUGUUUUCUCGAAAAUCAAUUAAAAAGAGUUGGAUUUUGUGCUGUAUUGACUUUAUCAGCUUUCUUCACUCUUUUCCAGCUUUUUUUAAUGCACUUUUCGUUUAACAAGUCAACAUCAGUUUCUUUUGUUGUAAAAAGGUCAUUGGAAGGUGGCUUUCUCUUCGGAGAAAGUGUUUAUAGCCUUUGACUCAUGCAAUCGGAGAGACUGAGGUCUGCAGCGUAGAUCCUUCGGGGUUAGAUACAUUUGUGCUAAGUUAUAGCUUUUCAUAGACAACUUGUUGACUAUGUUUAGUCUUGUAGCUUACUCGCUUAUGCUAUUUUACCUACGCUUAGGAUGUUGAACUCUAUCACACACAG
rnacentral:rRNA from 1 species